rnacentral:lncRNA from 1 species
GAAUGAUUUUCUGAUUGCACGGAUCUGAAGUCAACUCCACAGACUCUAUUUUAAUGGCCUUCAUCAUUUUAUCUGUUCAACAAAUCAAUUUUUUAUUAUUAUCAGAAACAUGACAUAAGAUAUAUCAAAUUGUCAAACGGCACUUUGCCAAAAACUGAAAGGUGCUCCAACAAUAGUGCAGGGAAGAAAUCUGGAGGGGGAAAUGCAACAGUAUAAAAGAAAUUUGUUGAACCAGAAUGAUGAAGUGUUCAAUAUACUCCGACAAAUAUCAAUCUAAAAACCAGGAACUUAUGAAAAAUCAGGUCCAAACUCCACUCUAUAUAAAAGACAAAUUUAACUGAAAACAUCCCUCAAUCAUUUAACCAUACCUUGAUUAAUACAAAUUCAAAUAAAAAAAGGAGCCAAACAAAAUAUACAUUACCAUGUCCAAAUUAAUACGUUUCCUGGCGAGCCUGAUGAUCUGCACCUAUUUCACCUGCACAUAUAUCUACAAGGAAAUAAACCCAAAUUAAUAGGUUUAUAUUACCCCUCUGCCCAUUGUCCACUCUAAGACUUGGAAAUCAUCAGAGGGGUA